UCGCACAUUUGGCUGUCGAGCGUUCGGG
rnacentral:piRNA from 1 species